GACGAACGCUGGCGGCGUGCUUAACACAUGCAAGUCGAACGGAAAGGCCCUGCUUUUGUGGGGUGCUCGAGUGGCGAACGGGUGUGUAACACGUGAGUAACAUGCCCUUGACUUUGGGAUAACUUCAGGAAACUGGGGCUAAUACCGGAUAGGAGCUCCUGCUGCAUGGUGGGGGUUGGAAAGUUUCGGCGGUUGGGGAUGGACUCGCGGCUUAUCCGCUUGUUGGUGGGGUAGUGGCUUACCAAGGCUUUGACGGGUAGCCGGCCUGAGAGGGUGAACGGGCACAAUGGGACUGAGGUACGGACCAGACGCGUACGGGAGGCAGCAGUGGGGAAUAUUGCACAAUGGGCGGAAGCCUGAUGCAGCAACGCCGCGUGCGGGAUGACGGCCUUCGGGUUGUAAACCGCUUUCGCCUGUGACGAAGCGUGAGUGACGGUAAUGGGUAAAGAAGCACCGGCUAACUACGUG
rnacentral:rRNA from 1 species